ACGCAAGUAGCAAUACUUGAGUGGCGGACGGGUGAGUAACGCGUGAGAAUCUGCCUUUUGGUCGGGGACAACCACUGGAAACGGUGGCUAAUACCGGAUAUGCCUAACGGUGAAAGAUUAAUUGCCAGAAGAGGAGCUCGCGUCUGAUUAGCUAGUUGGUGAGGUAAAGGCUCACCAAGGCAUCGAUCAGUAGCUGGUCUGAGAGGAUGACCAGCCACACUGGGACUGAGACACGGCCCAGACUCCUACGGGAGGCAGCAGUGGGGAAUUUUCCGCAAUGGGCGAAAGCCUGACGGAGCAAGACCGCGUGAGGGAGGAAGGCUCUUGGGUUGUAAACCUCUUUUGUCAGGGAAGAACACAAUGACGGUACCUGAAGAAUCAGCAUCGGCUAACUCCGUGCCAGCAGCCGCGGUAAUACGGGGGAUGCAAGCGUUAUCCGGAAUUAUUGGGCGUAAAGCGUCCGCAGGUGGCUAAUCAAGUCUGCUGUCAAAGGUUGGGGCUUAACCCCAAAAAGGCAGUGGAAACUGAAAAGCUAGAGUGCAGUAGGGGUAGAGGGAAUUCCCGGUGUAGCGGUGAAAUGCGUAGAGAUCGGGAAGAACAUCGGUGGCGAAAGCGCUCUACUGGACUGCAACUGACACUAAGCCGAAUUCUGC
rnacentral:rRNA from 1 species